rnacentral:tRNA from 2 species
GCUGGCGUAGCUCAGUCGGUAGAGCAACGGUUUCGUAAACCGUAGGUCGUCGGUUCAAGUCCGACCGCCAGCUCCA